rnacentral:sRNA from 1 species
UGAGGUCCCCCUGGGGAAGCAGGUAACUGAAGCCGUGGUCAUUGAGAAGAUCACCUGGGCCUCCUGGACAAGCGUCCUCGGAGAUGAAGUCAUUGGAAUCUGGCCACGAAAUGCAGACAAGGCUGAUGUCAACUGCGCAUGUGUGACCCACGCUGGCCUGAACAUUGUCACAGGAGAUGACUUUGGGCUGGUGAAGCUCUUUGAUUUUCCAUGCACAGAAAAAUUUGCCAAACAUAAGCGAUACUUUGGUCACUCGGCUCACGUGACGAACAUCCGUUUCUCUUAUGAUGACAAGUAUGUGGUCAGCACUGGAGGAGACGACUGCAGUGUAUUUGUGUGGCGAUGUCUGUAAAAUGCCAGAAGCCUCUUAUGUUAUUGCUGCUGCUGCUAUCAGCCAGCAACUGCAGAGGCCAUGCUGAGGUGCCUCCUUGCCACCAGCCGUUGGGAAAUGCCUACCAUGCUGCCCCGGAUGCACAAGCUCAAAACGCUGCAGAAGUUACACAACUGCUCCCAUAAUCUGGACUCUCCAAAACCGUGAUGCCACGAAGGAAGGUCAAGUUUUAAAAUGUUAAGACUGCUUGCCUCUGU